rnacentral:rRNA from 1 species
UGCUGGUCCUGUAUGGGGGCAUGUGCACACUCUGUUUACACAUCCACUCACACCUGUGCACCCUCUGUAGUUCUAUGGCCUGGGUGGGCUUUGCCCCCCUGCUGUGGUUCUACAUCUUUACACACACACUACAACAAAGUCUCAUGGAAUGUAUGUCGCGUUUAACGCAAUGAAAUACAACUUUCAGCAACGGAUCUCUUGGCUCUCGCAUCGAUGAAGAACGCAGCGAAAUGCGAUAAGUAAUGUGAAUUGCAGAAUUCAGUGAAUCAUCGAAUCUUUGAACGCACCUUGCGCCCUUUGGCUAUUCCGAAGGGCAUGCCUGUUUGAGUAUCAUGAAUACCUCAACUCUCAUGGCUUGCCAUGAUGAGCUUGGACUUUGGGGGUCUUGUUGGUCUGUGAGCCAGCUCCUCUUAAAUGAAUUAGCUUGCCAGUGUUUGGUGGCGUCACAGGUGUGAUAACUAUCUACGCUUGUGGUUUCCCACCAGGUAACCUUCAGCAAUGGAGGUUCACUGGAGCUUAUAAAUGUCUCUUCUCAGCGAGGACACAUCUUGACCAUUUGAUCUCAAAUCAGGUAGGACUACCCGCUGAACUUAAGCAUAC